CGACGCCCGAGCUUUGCCUGGUUUCUCAUUUUCUUCUUCCGCCGGUGGGUGAGCUCCGAAUCUUUGAAGGAUUUCAGGCAUAUCUCUCCUGCCGUGGCUUGAUUUUGCAGUAACAAUGGCAGCACUACUCGUUUUGUUUGAAGAGGGAGGCUAGGCUAUUUGGGUUUCUUAAUGAGUGCUUCAUGAGUUGAUGCUUAUCUGCUCUUUUCUUUAUUUUAUUUCAACUCUGUUUAUGGAGCUCCAAGAUUGGAGCAACAGAAGUUAUCUUCCUUGUUUAGCCUGAAAAUCUUCUUCUCGAUUCCCAAGGCAA